rnacentral:rRNA from 1 species
CGCCAGACUCCUACGGGAGGCAGCAGUGGGGAAUAUUGGGCAAUGGGCGCAAGCCUGACCCAGCAACGCCGCGUGAAGGAAGAAGGCUUUCGGGUUGUAAACUUCUUUUGACAGGGAAGAGUAGAAGACGGUACCUGUCGAAUAAGCCACGGCUAACUACGUGCCAGCAGCCGCGGUAAUACGUAGGGGGCAAGCGUUAUCCGGAUUUACUGGGUGUAAAGGGAGCGUAGACGGCCAGACAAGUCUGAAGUGAAAAUCCAGCGCUUAACGUUGGAAGUGCUUUGGAAACGGCCGGGCUGGAGUGCAGGAGGGGCAGGCGGAAUUCCUAGUGUAGCGGGGAAAUGCGUAGAUAUUAGGAGGAACCCCGGUGGCGAAGGCGGCCUGCUGGACUGCGACUGACGUUGAGGCCCGAAAGCGUGGGGAGCAAACAGGAUUAGAUACCCGAGUAC